rnacentral:ncRNA from 1 species
UAGUCCACGCCCUAAACGAUGCACGCUAGGCAUCCGAAGUAUCGACCCUUCGGGAGCCGUAAGCUAACGCGUUAAGCGUGCCGCCUGGGAAGUACGAUCGCAAGAUUAAAACUCAAAGGAAUAGACGGGGACUCGCACAAGCGGUGGAGCAUGUGGUUCAAUUCGAUGCUAAACGAAGAACCUUACCAGGGCUUGAAAUGCCGGCGGAAGUUUCGCCGAAAGGCGGGCGUCUCACAAGGACCACCGGCACAGGUGAUGCAUGGCUGUCGUCAGUUCGUGGCUUGAGUUGUUCCCUUAAGUGGGGUAACGAACGCAACCCUUAUCUCGCGUUACAAGUGUCGCGAGAGACUGCCUCGGUAUACGGGGAGGAAGGCGAGGAUGACGCCAAGUCCGCAUGUCCCUCUGAUGCCCUGGGCUACACACGUGCUACAAUGCCCGCCACAAUGGGUCGCGAAGCCGCGAGGCAGAGCUAACCCCAUCAAAAGCGGGCCCAGUUCGGAUUGGAGUCUGCAACCCGACUCCAUGAAGUUGGAAUCGCUAGUAAUCGCAGGUCAGCUAUACUGCGGUGAAUACGUUCUCGAGUCUUGUACUCACCGCCCGUCAAUGCAGGGAAGCCGGGAGUACCCGAAUCCCGCUUAUAGCGGGAGAAGGUAAGCUCGGUGACAAAGCAUAAGUCGUAACAAGGCACGGCUAGCGGAAGCUGGUCGUGGAGUUUCUCCUAA